GGGGAGGUGAGGCAGUCCCAGGACUCUCUUCAAAGCACAUUCUCUGAUCAGCACAGAGGAAAGUGGCUAAAGCCAUGCUUUGAUAUGGCAGUGAAACAGUCUGAUUUCCAGCGUCUUGUGAAUGCCGACAGUCAACAAGGUGAAGGGGAACUUGUAUCACAUUCUGUCAGUACUGUCGAUCUCAGAUAGAAUCCCUGAAUUUGUGCAAUGAAAAGCAGGCUUCAGGAAUAAGGCUUUACACCAUAUGAAACCAUUUACAGAUAUUGAAAUACCUAUCCAGAGGUCUGGAGAAAGAGAACUACUUUCAGCCGAUGUUAUAAAACCUGCCACACUUCACUAGAGCCAAGAUCAGACCAGAUGCAAGUGGCUUUGCCCUUGAAGGGCAUUGCAAACUUCACCACCUGAAUGUGCUCUGCUGGGUGACUAAUCCAGUGAUGACACGGAAGUAAUCCUUACUCAUCACCAUCCCUACCACACAAUAGCUGAGAACUGUGUCAGAACAUUUGGAAAGUGUGAAAGCUGGUUGAUCCAAGUUCUGAUCCAUAUGGGAAAUGCAGCUGAGGGUGCCAAGAUGGAACACCUAAUGACCAUUCUUCACUAUGAUCUUGCAACAGCAUUAAGAAUAUUAGGAACUUCGGUGCUAGACUUAAGGAGAUGCCUCCCACCAUCCUUUCUCCAUAUACCUCCCACCAGGUAUGUUGGUUUUUCUCAGUUCCUCCAUCCAUGAGCAACAAGCAGAAUAAUAGGAAGUGGCACCCACAAAAAUCAGGUGCAUCAUAUCACACCAUUUCCCAUAACAUCAUGUAAUAUUACUUUGUGCAGGUUACACCAUGUAUCAGGGGUCACCAACCUUUUUGGCCCAUUGCCACAUUUGCAAACUAAAUUUUCAUGGGCACCUUCCCCCACCCACACCACAACCAAGACCACUCUACCAAUUAUCUUGGUAACAAUCAAAUGCUUUUUUCCAUGCCUAAUUUCAGCAGGGAAAGUGAGGGGACUCUCUGUGCAACAGGGAAUACCUCUGUGGAUAUAUGUCAACCCAUGGGAGCCACAUUGGUAACCCCUGCCAAAUACAAUGACCUCAUUCUCCAGUUUUCUUCCUGGAGGGAGGCAGGGUAACGGGUCAGAAGAGGGUAAAAAGGUAAAGGGACCCCUGACCAUU